GGUGAAGUGUUCGGAUUGCGGCGACGUAGGCGGUUCGCUGCCCGCGACGUUGUGAGAAGUCCACUGAACCUUAUCAUUUAGAGGAAGGAGAAGUCGUAACAAGGUUUCCGUAGGUGAACCUGCGGAAGGAUCAUUGUCGAUGCCUCACAAUCAGUUCAACUUGUGAACCUGUUUAACCAUUCAGGGUUGAUUGGAUGUCUAACAUCUUGGCUUCCCUUAUGUUGGUGGCAGGGUUAUGCUUUGCAUGGCCUCCUUCCAACAAAACACAAACCCCGGCGCAACAUGCGUCAAGGAACUUGAAAUUGUUUGAUGCACCUGUAGGCCCCGGAGACGGUGUUUCUACGGGUGACGUCGUUCAACAUGUCUUAAAAUGACUCUCGGCAACGGAUAUCUCGGCUCUUGCAUCGAUGAAGAACGUAGCAAAAUGCGAUACUUGGUGUGAAUUGCAGAAUCCCGUGAACCAUCGAGUCUUUGAACGCAAGUUGCGCCUGAAACCAUUAGGUUGAGGGCACGUCUGCCUGGGUGUCACACAAUGUUGCCCAAUGCCCAACGCCUUUCCAUGAUCGGUGUUGAGCGGGGUGAAUGUUGGCUUCCCACGAGCAUGGUCUCGUGGUUGGUUGAAAAAUGAGUCCUCGGUGGAAUGCUCCAUGAGAAAUGGUGGUUGAGUGAUGCUCGAGACCAAACAUGCGUGGCUUCCCCCUAAAUGUUGGACCUCUGACCCCCGCGUCUUCAUACGGCGCUCACAACGAGACCUCAGGUCAGGCGGGACUACCCGCUGAGUUUAAGCAUAUCAAUAAGCGGAGGAAAAGAAACUAACAAGGAUUCCCCUAGUAACGGCGAGCGAACCGGGGAA
rnacentral:rRNA from 1 species